rnacentral:lncRNA from 10 species
GCCUGGAAUUUUCUUCCCAGAAUCUUUGCAUGUCAUUCCCUCUGUUGCUGAGUUACCGGGAUCUCAAUGUAAACGUUACGUACUGACAGAGGCUGCUGUGAACUGAAUUGCGUGCUUCCCAAAAUUCAUAUGUUGAUACUGUCACCCCCGGUACCUAAGGAUGUGACUACAUUUGGAGAUAGCAUCAUCAAAGAGGCAUGGAAUCCCAGGGAGCAUCCUGCACUCUCAGUGUCCAGCUGUCUGAGGCCAC